CCUACGGGAGGCUGCAGUGGGGAAUAUUGGACAAUGGGCGAAAGCCUGAUCCAGCCAUGCCGCGUGUGUGAAGAAGGCCUUCGGGUUGUAAAGCACUUUCAGUGGGGAAGAAAGCCUUGGGGCUAAUACCCUCGAGGAAGGACAUCACCCACAGAAGAAGCACCGGCUAACUCCGUGCCAGCAGCUGCGGUAAUACGGAGGGUGCGAGCGUUAAUCGGAAUUACUGGGCGUAAAGCGCGCGUAGGCGGUCUGAUAAGCCGGUUGUGAAAGCCCCGGGCUCAACCUGGGAACGGCAUCCGGAACUGUCAGGCUAGAGUGCAGGAGAGGAAGGUAGAAUUCCCGGUGUAGCGGUGAAAUGCGUAGAGAUCGGGAGGAAUACCAGUGGCGAAGGCGGCCUUCUGGACUGACACUGACGCUGAGGUGCGAAAGCGUGGGUAGCAAACAGGAUUAGAUACCCGUGUAGUC
rnacentral:rRNA from 1 species